CUGCAAAUCGCUUCUGAGGUUGCAAGAAUGCUUGAGCAAAUGCGAACCGUCCAGUAGCGGUACCACACCUCAGGUUGAUCUAGCACAUCUUGUGGCUGCUCGUGAUCAGGAGUUCCGUACUCUUUCUGCUGAGAUGGAUCAACUCCAUUCUGAGCUCACUCUCGCAAGAUCACUGAUUGCUGAGAGAGACAGAGAGAUACAGCAUGUUCGCCACACCAAUAACCAGUAUGUUGCAGAGAACGAAAGGUUAAGAGCUAUUCUCGGAGAAUGGAGCAUGCGAGCUGCAAAGG